rnacentral:lncRNA from 1 species
GCCGAAGCCAACCUGCGACCCGAAGGUCCAUAACGGCCAAAGCCAACAUACACGGCCCGAAGCCAAAACAUGAUCAUAAUAUCUUUACAGUCUGAAACCAAAACAUACUUUCCUUAUUUAAUUUCAUUGCUCAAUCCCGUUCUUUCCUUAAUAAAUCUCAUCAUUAAUCCAUUUUUAUAUCGUUUUCUACUAAACAUACUAAUUUUUUUCAAGAUCAAUUCUAUGUUCAUUUUCAUAAACAUAACAUCAUCACACACAAUCUAACAUGCAAAUAUCCUAAGAACGCAAGAACGUUCUUCAAUCUUUGAGAACCAUAUCAAAGUACGAAGAACGAAUUUUCCAUAAAUAAUUCCCCUAACAAAUAAUCUUCAUCCUAACAAACCAACUAUGACAAAUAUACAAAUUAUUAAGUUGCCAAAAAUCACGCCCUCACCUUAGCUGAAUCUCAAGGAUUCGAAGACUCUGAACUACCUAGCAUUUUCAAGCGAUGAACUCAUUGACUCCUCCUUGCUGAACCUUUCGUCUUUACCAAAUUGUUUCUGCUCUCUAACUUCUCUCUAUUCUUGCUUUCUGAAUUGUGUGGAAAAAAUGAGAGCUCAAGGGGUUCUUAUCUAGGAUUACCCAAGCUUUCUCACCAAGCCGGACACU